GGGGCCUGGGUAUCCUUAUAGUGAUUACUUUUUGACUGAACAUUAAACCGAUUUGUUUUCUGAUGCUCUUUACCGGGUA
rnacentral:rRNA from 1 species